CCUACGGGAGGCUGCAGUGGGGGAUAUUGCACAAUGAGGGGAACCCUGAUGCAGCGACGCCGCGUGGGUGAAGAAGCGCCUCGGCGCGUAAAGCCCUGUCAGCAGGGAAGAAAAUGACGGUAUCUGAAGAAUAAGCCCCGGCCAACUACGUGCCAGCAGCCGCGGUAAUACGUAGGGGGCAAGCGUUAUCGGGAUUGACUGGGUGUAAAGGGGGCGCAGACGGCGGUGCAAGCAAGGAGUGAAAGCCCGGGGCCGAACCCCGGGACUGCUCUUGGAACUGGGUGGCUGGAGUGCAGUAGGGGCAGGCAGAAUUCCAGGUGUAGCGGUGAAAUGCGUAGAUAUCAGGAGGAACACCGGUGGCGAAGGCGGCCUGCUGGAC
rnacentral:rRNA from 1 species